GACGAACGCUGGCGGCGUGCUUAACACAUGCAAGUCGAACGAAGUGGCGAACGGGUGAGUAACGCGUAAUCAACCUGCCCUAAAGAGGGGGACAACAGUUGGAAACGACUGCUAAUACCGCAUACUGAAGGAGGGGAUUGCGUCUGAUUAGCUAGUUGGAGGGGUAACGGCCCAACAAGGGGAUGAUCAGUAGCCGGUCUGAGAGGAUGGGAGGCCACAUUGGGACUGAGAAACGGCCCAGACUCCGACGGGAAGCAGCAGUGGUGAAUCUUCCGCAAUGGACGAAAGUCUGACGGAGCAACGCCGCGGUAAUAC
rnacentral:rRNA from 1 species